rnacentral:rRNA from 1 species
UACAGAGGUCCCAAGCGUUGUUCGGAUUCACUGGGCGUAAAGGGUGCGUAGGCGGUCGGGUAAGUCUGACGUGAAAUCUCCAAGCUCAACUUGGAAAUGGCGUCGGAUACUAUCCGGCUGGAGGAAUGGAGGGGAGACUGGAAUACUUGGUGUAGCAGUGAAAUGCGUAGAUAUCAAGUGGAACACCAGUGGCGAAGGCGAGUCCCUGGACAACUUCUGACGCUGAGGCACGAAAGCUAGGGGAGCAAACAGG